AUAUCAAUAAGCGGAGGAAAAGAAACCAACAGGGAUUGCCCUAGUAACGGCGAGUGAAGCGGCAACAGCUCAAAUUUGAAAUCUGGCCUCGGCCCGAGUUGUAAUUUGCAGAGGAAGCUUUGGGUGCGGUACCGACUGAGUCCCCUGGAACGGGGCGCCACAGAGGGUGAGAGCCCCGUAUAGUCGGACGCCAAACCUGUGUAAAGCUCCUUCGACGAGUCGAGUAGUUUGGGAAUGCUGCUCAAAAUGGGAGGUAAAUUUCUUCUAAAGCUAAAUAUUGGCGAGAGACCGAUAGCGAACAAGUACCGUGAGGGAAAGAUGAAAAGAACUUUGGAAAGAGAGUUAAACAGUACGUGAAAUUGCUGAAAGGGAAACGCUUGAAGUCAGUCGCGUUGGCCGGAAAUCAGCCUUGGUUCUCCUUGGUGUAUUUUCUGGUUGACGGGCCAGCAUCAGUUUUGACCGGUGGAAAAAGUUGUAGGGAAUGUGGCAUCUUCGGAUGUGUUAUAGCCUUGCUUCGUAUACAUCGGUUGGGACUGAGGAACUCAGCACGCCGCAAGGCCGGGGUUCGCCCACGUUCGUGCUUAGGAUGCUGGCAUAAUGGCUUUAAUCGA
rnacentral:rRNA from 1 species